CGCACAGUGGAUCCUAGGCGUUUUUACUCACGCAAAAAUUAGACCACAUUAUUGUUAGGUAGAACCUGACAUA
rnacentral:misc_RNA from 1 species